AUUGCCCCAGUAACGGCGAGUGAAGCGGCAACAGCUCAAAUUUGAAAUCUGGCUNNNGGGCCCGAGUUGUAAUUUGUAGAGGAUGCUUUUGGUGAGGUGCCUUCCGAGUUCCCUGGAACGGGACGCCAUAGAGGGUGAGAGCCCCGUCUGGUUGGACACCGAUCCUCUGUAAAGCUCCUUCGACGAGUCGAGUAGUUUGGGAAUGCUGCUCUAAAUGGGAGGUAUAUGUCUUCUAAAGCUAAAUACCGGCCAGAGACCGAUAGCGCACAAGUAGAGUGAUCGAAAGAUGAAAAGAACUUUGAAAAGAGAGUUAAACAGUACGUGAAAUUGUUGAAAGGGAAGCGCUUGUGACCAGACUUGGGCUUGGUUGAUCAUCCGGGGUUCUCCCCGGUGCACUCUUCCGGCCCAGGCCAGCAUCAGUUCGCCCUGGGGGACAAAGGCUUCGGGAAUGUGGCUCUCUCCGGGGAGUGUUAUAGCCCGUUGCGUAAUACCCUGUGGCGGACUGAGGUUCGCGCAUUCGCAAGGAU
rnacentral:rRNA from 1 species